AUUGCUUGCUUUGGCAAACGUUGACCUUUUCGUAAAAAAGGUUUGCCGUUUCAAAAGGGAGGAAAUUCCUUUUGUUUGGCCGGGAACGAAAACAUUAUCUACUCCAAAUCUUUCCUUUUUUUGUGUGUAGAUUCGGGCUUCGUCACUCCAGAUAUGCUGACGUAUAUUCUAAAACACAAUUUGCGAAAUGUGUGGUACUUUUCACACAUCGGAAAAGAAACGCGGUAAAUGGAACUCGUACACCGGGAAAUGAUGCAGUAUACUCACCAGCGGGGAGAUCCUGAGACGCCGAUCUUUUGAAGCUUACCCGUUUUAUUGGCUUCAUCAAUUUUUACUCUGGAUACAAAUUAGUCAAGAUUCUUCAGCCGAACUGUGUAAACAGAAGCGAGAGAGUUCACUUUCGUCAAUGGUUCGUUUGAGUUCAGUCGGCUUUUGUAAUCGAUGCUCCGAUCUAUGUAAAUAUGUUGAUUGGACACGAGUUGUGUAUGUGGCAAUUUCUGUGAAUACCCCGUGGUUGGGAAAGCACCUUAGCAAGCGACAUUUCCGGGAAUUCCACUGCUUCUCAACAUCUCCCAGGAGGGAGCGACGUUGUCAUAAGACACCUGGAAACCGCCCACCGUGAAACAAAAACAGGAAGCUGGGGAAUCGCAGCAAGUCACGCAAUAGCUGUGUGAAUUUAUUGGCUCAAUGACUUUUCAUCCGAUUUGGCCAUCGGUUUGGUCAGCAACAUUUGCCGAGAUAAACUAAGUGGCGUAUGUGUCUGUGGGAUUGAUUCAAGAAAAAAACUGAGGCACUCAAAAUAUAAAUGAUCCAAAAUAAAUUGAUAGGUAGCUAUUUUUGAGUGAUGAAGUUAUUCUAAGUAAUUCGUAGGAUGUGUGUGGCUGUCUCCUGUCCAUUCGGGAUUCCGUUGAGAAGAUAGCAUUGAGCUGUCUUCUUAAUUACCGGUGAAGGACUCAGCCAGGGAAUUACAAAGGAUAGUUUUGAGCCAUCAAAUGGGUCAGCCUGGUUAGGAUCACUAAAAGACACCAGUGAUCCAGACGGUGUUUAUGACAAACUGUUGUUUCACGGUCACUACUACUGAUACAAGUUUUUUUAUUCCAAAAUUAUUUAAUUGAUUUAAUUUAAUUUCCCAACUGCUAUAUUGGGAUUAAGAACUCAUGGCUAUUAUUAGUUCAGCUCUCAGGACGACUGGCCUAGUAUCAUACCAAAAAGCAAUCAGAUUACUAAAACUAAACUGAACAAAUGAGUCAAACAGAAGAAAUUAUAAUAGGAAUGUAAACACAAUGGUUACAGAUUAUUUGACACAGCACAGAAGAGGGAUGGUUUCCCAGCAAUUAGAAUGAUAGAAUCCCUACUGUGUGGAAAGAGGCCAUUUCCCCAUCAAAUCUGCAUUGACCCUCUGCACAGCAUCCUAUCCAGACCCAGUCCCUCACCAUAUCCACGCAACCUCGCAUUUACCAUGGCUAACCCAUUUAGCCGACACAUGCCAUGGACACAACAGACAGUUUAGCACGGGACAAUUCACCCACCCUGCACAUCUUUUGGCCCAGCAACAAAGAUAGAACAUAUGAUUAGAUUAGAUUAGAU